GUGUCAGCAGCCGCGGUAAUACGAGAGGUGCAAGCGUUAUUCGGAAUCAUUGGGCGUAAAGGGCGCGUAGACGGUAUGUUAAGUCUGUUGUUAAAUCCUUCGGCUCAACUGAAGAUCUGCAACGGAAACUGGCGUACUAGAGGGUGAAAGAGAGAAGUGGAAUUCUUGGAGUAGCGGUAAAAUGCGUAGAUCUCAAGAGGAACACCAAUGGCGAAGGCAGCUUCCUGGUUCACACCUGACGUUGAGGCGCGAAAGCGUGGGGAGCAAACAGGAUUAGAUACCCCAGUAGUCC
rnacentral:rRNA from 1 species